rnacentral:lncRNA from 1 species
UUAAAUUCCUUUUUUUAACCUUUUAGGGCAAUGUAGUGCCGAUCUGGUUGGUUGGAAACUUCUACGGUGCAUGUUAGUGGUUUGAUGAGCUGUCUAGCUCAGUUUAGGCUAGGAUUGGGGACACCAGCUUCCGUUGGUUUGUGGCCAUACUUCCCUUGAUCACUAGGAGAGUCGAUCAUACCUCGAUUUAUGCUUUGCUGGAGAGAUGGAUGGAUACGACACAACCUUUUGU